AGCCGCGGUAAUACGAAGGGGGCUAGCGUUGUUCGGAAUCACUGGGCGUAAAGCGCACGUAGGCGGAUUUGCCAGUCAGGGGUGAAAUCCCGGGGCUCAACCUCGGAACUGCCCUUGAUACAGCAAAUCUCGAGUCCGGAAGAGGUGAGUGGAAUUCCUAGUGUAGAGGUGAAAUUCGUAGAUAUUAGGAAGAACACCAGUGGCGAAGGCGGCUCACUGGACCAGCACUGACACUGAGGCACGAAAGCGUGGGGAGCAAACA
rnacentral:rRNA from 1 species